UACGAAGGGGGCUAGCGUUGCUCGGAAUCACUGGGCGUAAAGCGCACGUAGGCGGCUUUUUAAGUCAGGGGUGAAAUCCUGGAGCUCAACUCCAGAACUGCCUUUGAUACUGAGAAGCUUGAGUCCGGGAGAGGUGAGUGGAACUGCGAGUGUAGAGGUGAAAUUCGUAGAUACUCGCAAGAACACCAGUGGCGAAGGCGGCUCACUGGCCCGGUACUGACGCUGAGACGCGAAAGCGUGGGGAGCAAACAGG
rnacentral:rRNA from 1 species